AGUGAACGUUGGCGGCGUGGAUUAGGCAUGCAAGUCGAGCGAGAACCGUAGCAAUACGGGGACAGCGGCGAAAGGGACAGUAAUGUGUAGGUACCUACCCCGAGGUCUGGGAUAGCUACGGGAAACUGCAGGUAAUACCGGAUAAUGUCUUCGGACCAAAGGUGUGAUUCCACCUUGGGAGGGGCCUGCAUCCUAUUAGCUAGUUGGCGGGGUAAUGGCCCACCAAGGCAACGAUGGGUAGCGGGUGUGAGAGCACGACCCGCGUCAUUGGGACUGAGAUACGGCCCAGACACCUACAGGUGGCUGCAGUCGAGGAUCUUCGGCAAUGGGCGAAAGCCUGACCGAGCGACGCCGCGUGCGGGAUGAAGGCCUUCGGGUUGUAAACCGCUGUCGUAGAGGAGGAAAUGCAGGGGGGUUCUCCCUUCUGUUUGACCUAUUCUAGGAGGAAGGACGGGCUAAGUUCGUGCCAGCCGCCGCAGUAA
rnacentral:rRNA from 1 species